AAAAAAGCCCUUGUCAUAAAAAAAAGGCGCUUGCCCUCCUAGUAGUUUGUUCUCUCUCUUCUUCCGCUUCUCUUUCACCUCUCUUCCUCACUCAACGCGAACCAGAACCCGACGGAGGCGUGGCUCGCCGCGAGAUGGUGGCACUUUUACAUUAGCGAUGCUAGUUUGUGUCUUGUUAUCUUUUCAAAAUGGUGAAGCUGACAAUGAUAGCCCGUAUCACUGAUGGCCUUCCAUUGGCGGAGGGGUUAGAUGAUGGUCGAGAUCUGAAGGAUGCUGACUUCUACAAGCAGCAAGCAAAACUGUUGUUCAAAAACUUAUCUAAAGGCCAACACGAAUCAUCAAGGCUGUCAAUCGAGACUGGACCGUACUAUUUCCAUUACAUCAUUGAGAGCCGUGUAUGCUAUUUGACAAUGUGUGACCGUUCUUAUCCAAAGAAACUUGCAUUCCAGUAUUUAGAAGAUCUAAAAAAUGAAUUCGAGAGGGUCAAUGGUAGCCAAAUUGAAACUGCUGCAAGGCCAUAUGCUUUCAUCAAAUUUGAUACAUUCAUACAGAAAACCAGGAGACUGUAUUUGGAUACCAGAACCCAAAGGAACCUUGCCAAGUUGAAUGAUGAGCUCUACGAGGUGCACCAGAUUAUGACUCGCAAUGUUCAAGAAGUUCUUGGUGUGGGUGAAAAACUAGAUCAGGUUAGUCAAUUGUCUAGUAGGUUGACCUCUGAUACGAGAAUGUAUGCAGACAAGGCAAAGGAUCUCAAUCGCCAGGCGUCCUGCCUAGGACGCUUGAGCGAUAAGGCGCCUUUCAGCGCCUUACAAAUAUGCCCGUCUUAGGCGCUUAGGCGUCGCCUAGGCGCUGGAGCGGGUGGUGCUCGCCUUAGGUUGCCUUACCGCCUUAAAAACAAUGGCCUUAAUUCGGAAGUAUGCCCCUGUGGCCAUUGUGAUGGGGAUAGUACUGAUGCUCUUUUGGAUCAAGAACAAGAUAUGGUGACCCAGUGAAGCUCGACAUCCUUCACUAUGACGCCGAGAAUUCUAUGUCAACAGAUGCUUCUACAGCUUAUCCCGCAUCCGCCUAUUCAAGCGAGAUUACCUUUUUAGCCGCCUUAUAUUGUCCCAAACAAGAGGAGCAAACAGUAAACCCGUUGUGUAGUAGUAUUAGUAUAGAUCUGAUCCUGAUCCAUGAGUUCUCCAUGAAAUCUUGGAGCCGAACAUACCAUGAACUAUUCUAUUAGAGUUGUAGAUUCGACCGACAUAGUAAUUGGUCUUCUUUUUGUGAGCCCAACAUGUAAGAUCUGUCGUGCAACAUAUUGUAUGCAGAAAUGCUUUGGUCGAGAUGAAAUAUGUUUGACAUGCUA